AGGUGGAGGCCGGACCCUCCCAGCCUAUUGAGCCACCCCCACCAGAUGUGGGAGAAGUGAAAGAGGUGGAAAGUGCUGUACCCUCCAGCACCACCCCAUCUCAGGACUCGGAGGCAGAGGAGAUGAUCACCAGCCCCCGGCAGGAGGGAAUGAAGACAUUGAAGGCCAAAUUGGCCAAACUGCAAAGGGCGCAUCUCCAUGAUAUGCGGGCCGUUCAUGAGCGCUUGAAGGGCAUGGAGGAGAGGCAACGCAAGGCCAUGAAGGAGGUGCAUGAGAUUAUCAUGCUUUUGGAGAAAUUGCCUUAAUU